GAUGAACGCUGGCGGCGUGCCUAAUACAUGCAAGUCGAGCGAACGGACGAGAAGCUUGCUUCUCUGAUGUUAGCGGCGGACGGGUGAGUAACACGUGGAUAACCUACCUAUAAGACUGGGAUAACUUCGGGAAACCGGAGCUAAUACCGGAUGAUAUUUUGAACCGCAUGGUUCAAAAGUGAAAGACGGUCUUGCUGUCACUUAUAGAUGGAUCCGCGCUGCAUUAGCUAGUUGGUAAGGUAACGGCUUACCAAGGCAACGAUGCAUAGCCGACCUGAGAGGGGGGACGGACAAGAUGGAACUGAGCCACGGGCCGGACGCACACGGGAGGCAGCAGUAGGGAAUCUUCCGGAAGGGGCGAAAACCAGACGGAGCAACGCCGCGGGAGUGAGGAAGGUCUUCGGAUCGGAAAACUCUGUUAUUAGGGAAGACCAAAUGGGUAAGUAACUAUGCACGUCUUGACGGUACCUAAUCAGAAAGCCACGGCUAACUACGUG
rnacentral:rRNA from 1 species